rnacentral:rRNA from 1 species
UCGAGGGGCAGCAUGAACUUAGCUUGCUGAGUUUGAUGGCGACCGGCGCACGGGUGAGUAACACGAUUUUUUUCCAACCUGCCGAUGACUCGGGGAUAGCCUUUCGAAAGAAAGAUUAAUACCCGAUGGCAUAGUUCUUCCGCAUGGGAUGAUUAUUAAAGAAUUUCGGUUGUCGAUGGGGAUGCGUUCCAUUAGGUUGUUGGCGGGGUAACGGCCCACCAAGCCUUCGAUGGAUAGGGGUUCUGAGAGGAAGGUCCCCCACAUUGGAACUGAGACACGGUCCAAACUCC